UACGAAGGGGGCUAGCGUUGCUCGGAAUCACUGGGCGUAAAGCGCACGUAGGCGGACUCUUAAGUCGGUGGUGAAAUCCUGGAGCUCAACUCCAGAACUGCCUUUGAUACUGAGGAUCUUGAGUUCGGGAGAGGUGAGUGGAACUGCGAGUGUAGAGGUGAAAUUCGUAGAUAUUCGCAAGAACACCAGUGGCGAAGGCGGCUCACUGGCCCGAUACUGACGCUGAGGCACGAAAGCGUGGGGAGCAAACAGGG
rnacentral:rRNA from 1 species